AACGUAGGAGACAAACGUUAUCCGGAGUUACUGGGCGUAAAGGGCGUGUAGGUGGUUUCGUAAGUCUGGCGUGAAAUUUUUCGGCUUUAACCGGGAAAGGUCGUCGGAUACUGCGGAACUAGAGGACGGUAGAGGCGUGUGGAAUUCCGGGUGUAGUGGUGAAAUGCGUAGAGAUCCGGAGGAACACCAGUGGCGAAGGCGAACACCGCUGGGCCGUACCUGACACUGAUGCGCGACAAGCAUGGGGAGCAAACAGG
rnacentral:rRNA from 1 species